rnacentral:rRNA from 1 species
AUUAGUAUUAGUUAUGUUCUUGAAAAUUAAAGAAUUUGGCGGUAUUUUAGACUUUUCAGAGGAACUUGUCCUAUAAUUGAUAAUCCACGAUUUAAAUUACUUUUUUUUUUAGUUUAUAUAUCGUUGUUAUUGAAAAUUUUUAAAAAAUUUAUAAUUUUCAAAAUUUUAUAUUUAAAAAUAAAUCAGAUCAAGAUGUAGUUAAUAAAAAAGUAGAGAUGAGUUACAUUGAAUUUAUAAAAGGAUAUUUAUUAUUAUAAUAAAUAAAAUAUGGAUUUGAAAGUAAUUUAAAUUAAUUAAUUUGAAUGAUUUAGCUCUAAAAUAUGUACACAUC